AGUGAACGCUGGCGGUAGGCCUAACACAUGCAAGUCGAACGGCAGCACAGUAAGAGCUUGCUCUUACGGGUGGCGAGUGGCGGACGGGUGAGGAAUACAUCGGAAUCUACUUUUUCGUGGGGGAUAACGUAGGGAAACUUACGCUAAUACCGCAUACGACCUACGGGUGAAAGCAGGGGAUCUUCGUACCUUGCGCGAUUGAAUGAGCCGAUGUCGGAUUAGCUAGUUGGCGGGGUAAAGGCCCACCAAGGCGACGAUCCGUAGCUGGUCUGAGAGGAUGAUCAGCCACACUGGAACUGAGACACGGUCCAGACUCCUACGGGAGGCAGCAGUGGGGAAUAUUGGACAAUAGGCGCAAGCCUGAUCCAGCCAGACCGCGUGGGUGAAGAAGGCCCUCGGGUUGUAAAGCCCUUUUGUUGGGAAAGAAAAGCAGCAGGUUAAUACCCCGCUGUUCUGACGGUACCCAAAGAAUAAGCACCGGCUAACUUCGUG
rnacentral:rRNA from 1 species